rnacentral:rRNA from 1 species
UGAGGAAUAUUGCGCAAUGGAGGCAACUCUGACGCAGCCAUGCCGCGUGCAGGAAGACGGUCCUAUGGAUUGUAAACUGCUUUUAUACGGGAAUAAUUUCUGGUACGUGUACCGGGUUGAAUGUACCGUAAGAAUAAGCAUCGGCUAACUCCGUGCCAGCAGCCGCGGUAAUACGGAGGAUGCAAGCGUUAUCCGGAUUUAUUGGGUUUAAAGGGUGCGUAGGCGGAAUUGUAAGUCAGUGGUGAAAUCUUGCAGCUUAACUGUAAAAUAGCCAUUGAUACUGCCAUUCUUGAGUACAAUUGAGGUAGGCGGAAUGUGUAAUGUAGCGGUGAAAUGCUUAGAUAUUACACAGAACACCGAUUGCGUAGGCAGCUUACUAAGUUGUAUCUGACGCUGAUGCACGAAAGCGUGGGUAGCGAACAGGAUUAGAUACCCUGGUAGUCCACGCUGUAAACGAUGAUCACUCGUUGUUGG